GACGAACGCUGGCGGCGUGCCUAAUACAUGCAAGUAGAACGCUGAAGGAGGAGCUUGCUCUUCUGGAUGAGUUGCGAACGGGUGAGUAACGCGUAGGUAACCUGCCUGGUAGCGGGGGAUAACUAUUGGAAACGAUAGCUAAUACCGCAUAACAGUAGAUGUUGCAUGACAUUUGCUUAAAAGGUGCAAUUGCACCACUACCAGAUGGACCUGCGUUGUAUUAGCUAGUUGGUGGGGUAACGGCUCACCAAGGCGACGAUACAUAGCCGACCUGAGAGGGGGAUCGGCCACACUGGGACUGAGACACGGCCCAGACUCCUACGGGAGGCAGCAGUAGGGAAUCUUCGGCAAUGGACGGGAGUCUGACCGAGCAACGCCGCGUGAGUGAAGAAGGUUUUCGGGUCGUAAAGCUCUGUUGUAAGAGAAGAACGAGUGUGAGAGUGGAAAGUUCACACUGUGACGGUAUCUUACCAGAAAGGGACGGCUAACUACGUG
rnacentral:rRNA from 1 species